ensembl:misc_RNA 7SK 7SK RNA
AGAGGUGAGAAUAUAUAGCUGCAACAUUUGUCAUCCUAUUGAUCGCCAGGUUCAUCUGGUAGGCUUGGAGAGUGUCCCUUUCCUUCCUCACUGCUCUGUGUAUGUCCCUCCUGAAGCUGCAUACUUGGUCAGAGGACAACCUUCCCUGGAAGAGGAGGACUGCUCUUUGGUGAAGGGUCUACCAGUAGCUUCCCUCCCCUGCUAGAACCUCCAGACAGGCUGUCAAGGUCCAUUUGUAGAACAUAGGGUAGCCAAGCUUCCAAGACUCCACACACAUCCAAAUGAGGUAUUGCAUAUGGCAGUCUUUCUUUCCUU